UACGUAGGGGGCUAGCGUUGUCCGGAUUUAUGGGCGUAAAGAGCGUGUAGGCGGCCAGGUAGGUCUGGUGUGAAAACUCGAGGCUUAACCUCGAGAUGUCAUCGGAAACCAUCUGGCUAGAGUCCGGAAGAGGAGAGUGGAAUUCCUGGUGUAGCGGUGAAAUGCGCAGAUAUCAGGAAGAACACCAAUGGCGAAAGCAGCUCUCUGGGACGGUACUGACGCUGAGACGCGAAAGCGUGGGGAGCGAACAGG
rnacentral:rRNA from 1 species